ensembl:snoRNA
CUGUGGCACUAUCGAAGUCGAUUUAGUCUACACCUGGCUGAGUCGGUCAAUCUGGAGCCUAAAGUGAAAUCUUUUACCGACGGUCGCAGUUUAGCUUUUGUAGCUGAUCAGCAACAUUUGUGGAAAAGGACAAUC